rnacentral:rRNA from 1 species
GUAGGUGGCAAGCGUUGUCCGGAAUUAUUGGGCGUAAAGCGCGCGCAGGCGGUGCUUUAAGUCUGAUGUGAAAGCCCACGGCUCAACCGUGGAGGGUCAUUGGAAACUGGAGAACUUGAGUACAGAAGAGGAAGGCGGAAUUCCACGUGUAGCGGUGAAAUGCGUAGAGAUGUGGAGGAACACCAGUGGCGAAGGCGGCUUUCUGGUCUGUAACUGACGCUGAGGCGCGAAAGCGUGGGGGAGCAAACAGGAUUAGAUACCCUGGUAGUCCACGCCGUAAACGAUGAGUGCUAAGUGUUAGGGGGUUUCCGCCCCUUAGUGCUGCAGCUAACGCAUUAAGCACUCCGCCUGGGAGUACGGCCGCAAGGCUG